UUUUUUUUGUAUUUUUAGUAGAGACGGGGUUUCACUGUGUUAGCCAGGAUGGUCUCGAUCUCCUGACCUCGUGAUCUGCCUGCUUCAGCCUCCCAAAGUGCUGGGAUUACAGGCAUGAGCCACUGCACCUGGCUGAUUAUUCACAUUUUUAAAAGAGGAUUUGAGAAAUACAAACACAGGCCACUUUACACAAUAAAAUAGGCAACAAUAACAUACGUAUGUUUGCAAGCAUAAGCAGUUCUCAGCUCUACUAAUGACAGUCACAUGGGUAUGACAGUUAUGAACAGAUGAGUGGUAUUUAUAAAGAAAUAGGUCAAAAAGGGAAAUGUAUCAAUGCAUAGCCCUGUGGUUGGUAAUUGUGUAUGCUCAGCUUUAUAACUGCAGUCAUUUGAAAUACUUUAAGAACAACCAGUGUCUUCCACUGGCUUCACUCAGAUGCUAAUCUCUGGAAACACUUGCACAGACACACUCAAAACACUAAUAAGUUUCUAGGUGUUCCUUAAUCCAAUCAACUUGACACCUAAAAUUAAGUCCCAAAGAACACCUCUUAUCAACUCAGCACCCAUACAUACCUCCUUAAACCGUACUUAAUUUCCAAAUAAAGACAAUGAGAAAGUUGUAGUUCUACCUAUCAUGAUGCCAGUAUCCUCUGAUUGUGAUUUUUGGGAUUUUAGACAUUAUGGAUUUUAGAUUAGGCAUUUUGAUCUUUUGGGAUUUCACCAUUCAGGAUUAAGGUGUUCGAGAUUGUGUCUUACAGGAUUAUAAACCAAAUCCCUUUUUGGGAUUGGGUUUGUUUUGCCCCAGUCAGCCUUAUUCUUCAGAGAUUCUUCCAGUUUGUUGCUGUAUCAAUAGUUCACUUUUAUUUUAUUUUGUUUUAUUUAUUUAUUUGGGAUGGAGUCUCGUUGCCCAGGCUGGAGUGCAGUGGCGCCAUCUCAGCUCACUGCAGCCUCUGCCUCCUGGGUUCAAGCAAUUCUUCUGCCUCGGUCUCCCUAGUAGCUGGGAUUACAGGCGCACACCACUAUGCCUGGCUAAUUUUUGUAUUUUUAGUAGAGACGGAGUGUCGCCAUGUUGGCCAGGCUGGUCUCGAACUCCUGACCUCAGGUGAUCCACCCGCCUCAGCCUCCCAAAGUGCUAGGAUUACAGGUGUGAGCCACUGUACCUGGCCAAUAGUUCACUUUUAUUGUUGAGUAGUAUUUCAUGGUAUGAAUAUACUGUAGUUUGUUUAACCAUUCACCCAUUGAAGGACAUCUGGGUUGUUUACAGUUUGGGACCGUAAUGAGUAAAGCUGCUGUUAGUUUCUUUGUGAACACAGUCUUCAUUUCUUCUGGAUAACUGCCCAGUAGUGCAGUUGUUAGGUCAUAUGAUAAUUGCAUAUUUAAAGAAACUGCUGAACUGUUUUCCUGGGUGAGUCAGACUGCUUUACAUUCCCACCAAGAACAUAUGGGCGAUCCACUUCAUCCGCAUUCUCAACAACAUUUAGUUGUGUCUCUGUGUUUUAUUUUAGGCAUUCUGGUAGGUAUAUAGUGAUAGAUAUAUAACUUACUCUGGUUUUAAUUUUUAUUUCUUUAAUUGGUAAUGUUGUUGAGUAUCUUUUCAUGUACUCAUUUUGCCAUCUGCAUAUCCUGUUAGGUGAAAUGUUACUUUAUAUCUAAUUGGAUUUUUAGGUUUUUUUUUAUUUUUGAGUUUUGAGAGUUCUUUAUGUAUUCUACAUACUAGUUCUUUGUCAGAUAUGUUGCUUGCAGCUGUUUCCUCCCAAUAUAUAGCUUGUCUUUCUUUUUUUUUCUUUUUUAAGACAGUCUCGCUCUGUCACUCAGGCUGGAGUACAGUGGUGAGAUCACAGUUCACUGCAGCCUCAACCUCCAGGGCUCAAGCAAUCCUCCCACCUCAGCCUCUUAGUAGCUGGGACUACAGGUGCCUGCCACCACAGCCAGCUAAUUUUUUUUUUUUAUUAUUAGUGGAAACGAGGUCCCUAUGUUGCCCAGGCUGGUCUCAAACUCCUGGUCUCAAGCAGUUCUCCCGCUUUGGCCUCCCAAAAUGCUGGGAUUACAGGUAUGAGUCACCAUGCCUAGCCUCCAAUGUAUGGCCUGUCUUUUAAUAGAGUUUUGUAGAGUACAAGAUUUUAAUUUUUCUGCAGUUUAUCAGUUUUUCCUUUUAUGGAUUGUGCUUUUGGUGUCAAAAGUAAGAACUCUGCCGAGCACUAGCUUCCGAAAUUUUUCUCAUACUUUUAAUUUUUUUAAAAAAAUUCUCUAGUUUUACAUUUAAGUCUGUGAUCCAUUUUGAGAUUUUUUUUUUUUUUUUUUUGACUUAUGAACAUCCACUUGUACUGGGACUAUUUGUUGAAAAAGGUCUCUGGCUGCUUUUAAGGUUUACCUUUGUCUUCGGUAUUCUAGAAUAUUCCACUAUAAUGUGUCUAGAUAGGGAUUUCCUUUAUCUUUCUUGUUAUAUCCUGUGUCUGAUGGCUUAAUGUUUUUUAUUAUUCUGGAAACUUCUCUGCCAUUUUUUCUUCAAAUAGUCUCUCUCCACAUUCUAUCUAUUAUUUCCUUUUGUAAUCUUAGUCAGUUUUAUGUAAGGCUUUCUCCUCUUGUUCUUUGUAUCUUAACUCAUAUUAUCCAGAUAGUUUAUUCUGAAUAAUUGUUUCAGGUCUAUAUUCCAGGUCACCCACUCUUUUUCACAUAAGCCCAGUCUCUUAUUUAACCCAUCCACUGAAUUUUUAAUUUCAGUAAUUUUUUGUUUUUGGAGUUCUGUUUGAUUCUUUCUUGAAUUUUCCUGGUUAUUUUUGAUUUUCUGUUGUUCUUUGCUCAUUUAUUUCCACUC
rnacentral:lncRNA from 1 species